rnacentral:rRNA from 1 species
AGGACGAACGCUGGCGGCGUGCUUAACACAUGCAAGUCGAGCGGAAAGGCCCCUUCGGGGUACUCGAGCGGCGAACGGGUGAGUAACACGUGAGUAAUCUGCCCCUAGCUCUGGGAUAGCUCCGGGAAACCGGGAUUAAUACCGGAUAUGACCACUUUAGACAUCUGUUGUGGUGGAAAGAUUUUCGGCUAGGGAUGAGCUCGCGGCCUAUCAGCUUGUUGGUGGGUAACGCCUACAAGGCGACGACGGGUAGCCGG